GGCCCGAUGGUGUAGUUGGUAACACAUCUGCUGUUGCUACGUCUCUGUAGAUCUCGCAAAACUCUAUGCAGGAGUCCCUCGUUCGAAACCGGGGGUCGGGUCA